rnacentral:rRNA from 1 species
UCCGGUGGUCAUAGUGGUGGGGAAACACCUCUUCCCAUUCCGAACAGAGAAGUUAAGCCCACCCACGCCGAUGGUACUUGGAGGGAGACCUCCCGGGAGAGUAGGUAGCCGCCGGAA